UUUUUGUACAGAGUUUUUGAAGGGGAACGAUUGAGGUGAUCAAUUACUAGCAACAAGAUGCUUAACCUAUGGAUUGAUGGUUUUACAAAGCUAUUUCAUAUUUUAUUCAAGAAAUUAAGAUAUCUAAUCCAAUUAGGAGUUGAUAAAAUGUGAAAAGCAGGUGGUUUUGAAAUUACUAGUAUCUAGUUAGAUUUCAAUUUUACUUGAGAUAGAACACAUUAUUUACUUUGAGAUCAUUUAACUUUUACA
rnacentral:lncRNA from 1 species